AACCAGCAGGAAUGGUUUAUAUUAGAAACUGUUUAUGUUAGAAGCAAUGAUUAUUUGGAAUCAUAAUUCAUGCUAAUAUAAAGGGAGGGAGUUUACAUGCUUUUCCAAAAAAGCAUAGAACUGGUACGUCACACUGACUUAGCGGCCUCAGAAUACUUGCUCUCCCUAGAUCUGCUCUUUAUCCAUCCAUUUUCUUUAUGAUGUUGCUGACAGCACACAGUUGGAGAGGAGAGUCAAGACACUCUGGGGAAAGCCUCUGUUCCACCUUCAGAAGCAAGCAGCUUGUUCCUGGAGAGGGAGAAACCAGCUCUCUACCCAGUGUUUCACACUAAAAUCCCAGAGUCAAAUAAAUGGAAAAGGAGCUGCUGUUUGCUCCAGUUAAUCCAGUGUUUGGAUUUGCUACAUGGAAGCAAAACUGCAUUCUACUUCCUGAUCUCUUCAUUCACAAUGGCUUUUGGGAGCAGGGAGGCACCCGAACCUGUGGCCCAUCCCACAUGCACCUCUCUCCACCUGGAUCCACAGGAAGGAAAGACCUAUUUGCAAGAAAUUCUCAGUCUCUAGGAGGAUGUGAAAAUAUGAGCAAUUAAGUAAUUAAAUGUCAACUAUAAGAGUAAAUGAGCCCAAAGUUAAACCUUAUGAAGAAACAUUACAAAACUUUGUGAAAAAACCCUGCAGCUAGGGUUGUUCUACACUCAAUACUUCAACUCUUCAGUGAAAAGUCAUGUAUUGGGACUGAAAUAACCCCUAAACCAAGUACAAGAAGGCUUUAAGAAACAUACUUGAAAUAAAUCUCCUAAGACUUUAA